UGACAGAUUAAUUUGGUAUCAGAGCCUAGGGUUGAGUCUUAGUGGACCUAGCGAACCUUAGGCCGGAUGGACUAUAGGAAUUAGGCUCGUGAGAGACGGGGUCUAAUUGACUUGUGAGCGAAAGUAUCCUAAUUGGGUGUCUUGACAACUCUAAAAAGUUAGAGUAUGAUCGGAGUGUAUGGCUCCUAACUUCGCGGAGGGUUACGUUGGCGGCCGUCAACGUAACAUCGGGAGUUAGUAGUGGAUGACACUUCCUUACUUUCGCGUGAUUUGGGUUUUGUUAUUUGAGCGGGGACUCGAUAGUGCGGGUUACUAACUUGCACUUUUAUGUUCUGUAGUGACGAUGCCGAUUACACGCUCCCAGUCUGCCGGGGCGGAUGAUGCGGCACACCCCGAGGAGGUCGAGACCUCUGCUACUUCCGGAUCUAGUGAGGUCCGCGACCUGAGGGCCCAGCUUGCGGUCCUCACUGAUUUGUUGGCGCAGCAGACAGCAGCAGCGCAGCGGACAGGCUGAGGUGGCUCAGCGGCAGGAGGCGCGGAUGAAGCAUCUCGAGGACCUCCUACUUCAGCAGGCGGCAGCUUCGAGGGAGACCCAGGGUCCCACACCGCCAGCACCCGUGGUGGACGUCGCUCCGAGGGCGCAGUCCCCCGCGCCCAGU
rnacentral:lncRNA from 1 species